rnacentral:rRNA from 1 species
AUUGAACGCUGGCGGCAUGCCUUACACAUGCAAGUCGAACGGUAACGGGCCUUCGGGUGCCGACGAGUGGCGAACGGGUGAGUAAUGUAUCGGAACGUACCUUUCAGUGGGGGAUAACGUAGCGAAAGUUACGCUAAUACCGCAUAUUCUGUGAGCAGGAAAGCAGGGGAUCGCAAGACCUUGCGCUGAUUGAGCGGCCGAUAUCAGAUUAGCUAGUUGGUGAGGUAAAGGCGCACCAAGGCGACGAUCUGUAGCGUGUCUGAGAGGAUGAUCCGCCACACUGGAACUGAGCCACGGUCCAGACUCCUACGGGAGGCAGCAGUAGUGAAUUUUGGACAAUGGGGUCAACCCUGAUCCAGCCAUGCCGCGUGAGUGAAGAAGGCCUUCGGGUUGUAAAGCUCUUUCGGCCGGGAAGAAAUCGCAUGGGUUAAUACCCUGUGCGGAUGACGGUACCGGCAUAAGAAGCACCGGCUAACUACGUGCCAGCCGCCGCAGUAAAAC